GGAGAGAUGGCCGAGCGGUUUAAGGCGCAGCAUUGGAAAUGCUGUUUAGUAGCAAUAUUAACGAGGGUUCGAAUCCCUCUCUUUCCU
rnacentral:tRNA from 2 species